UGAAUUAAUAUUAUUCUGUUUCUUGUUUGAAUGCAAACAGAAGUAUGGUCGUCAUUUAUUUUAAUAAACAAAUCUAAUUGGAAUAAAUGAGUUUAAAUUGGUUAAAACACUAUAAAUUUUGGUCGUGUUCCAAUGCCAUCUACCGAGAAAGAAAACGAAAUAUAUGGUGUAAUUUAAAAAUAUUUUCUUCGGCUUUCUAGGGCUAUCCUAGAACUUCUGAGAAAUACUUCUGUUCUUUUUGACCCUACUCGUAUUACCAACUGCUGGCAAGGAUGGGUCAAGGUUUAACCACAAAUCAACAGUCGAGAAUUAUACAGAGUCGAGUGCAUCAAGAAAGCUCUCCUUAUCAGCGCAGGAAAUAGUGUCGCGUUUUAAAUCAGCUUCCUUGUUGUCAGAACGCGUUCAACUUUCCCACCCAUGUUCGAAUCGGUUAGAAGAAGAAAAAAGAAAAAAAGAAUUUCACCGCCUUUUCUCGCACAGAUUUUAAAAGGUGCAGUGACUCGCACACCGAAUUCGUCCGUUUGUUAUCCGAGUUAUUUCAAAACUUCGUGCGUAGGAAUUUACAAACGGUGCAGAAUCUAUCGAAACUGACGCGACGUCGCUGUUUGUUUUUUAGGUAUGACGUCAUCGGCAUGGGUCGCCGUCCUGCGGGAGACUGAGGCCUGUGACGUCACAAUUUCACGCGUUGUUUUAUAUACUGUACCGACUGACUGCAAGGCGAAUGGAGCCGCUAUACUAGAAGUCGGUGAAUGUGUCGGUCUCUAUACAAAUGGCCUUGAGAUUGGCCUCGCACUGGCCUGUCACCCGUGGCCUGAGGGUAAAUGGUGGCGCCAGUCCGGUUGGCUUUUGACGAUUGCUAUUGCCUAGCGAAUUCGUUUUAAGUAUCUGUAAGCAUCGCCCUGUCCGGGUAAAAGAUGGAAUUCUGUUAAGACUGAAGUUCUGAGAUCGGCUUCAAUGCAGAACGGAGGAGGAAUGGAUAACAAAAGACACUCGCAUUUUUGGGCGUCGAAUUUGACUAUAUAAACUCGCUACGCCCUUUGGGGUCGCAUUUAAGGGUCUUCCUUAUAAUGUAGAUCGUGUCAACUGUCAGCUCUUUUCCUUAACGACAAUCCUUUAUUUAUUCAUGUUGUUUUAUCGCAUAAAAACGUGUGUUAUAUCCAUUAUCUGUAAGAAUUUCUUUCGUUUACAUUAUCGCUAUUUACAGUCUAUAUUUUGCAAGUCGACAGGAAUUGCAAAACAAACAAAAGGAAGGAAAAUUUCAUUGCUAAUUAAGUUUAUCGUUUUUUUUUUUUACAAUUUAACCAUCUAAACUGCAGUAUCUUUAUUAAUGCGCUUGCAGUAAUUAUCAAAGACAAUUCAUAUGUUAUAUCAGGUUCGAGUUUGGAGGAAGGAAAAAAAAUAUCUUAAAAACGUAUUCGAGUUUCAAACACCAAAACGUAAUUAUUUUGUACAGAAAUUUAUAUAAUAAUUGCGCAGAUUUAUCACAGAUUAUUUGUCUUAUCUCUAAAGAAAAUCACUUAAGUAACUUGUACAGUAUCUACUGUGCAAUAUUUAGUAUGUAGCGUGACUAGCGCAUUCUUGAAUUUAUCCAAUAUACCAUAAGUAAAUAUCUAUAGGCUGUAGUCUGUAUAAUCUGUUAGAACAGAUUAUUACUUUAUUAUAUUAUUAAAGUGACCAAUAAACGUCCAAAUGUUAGGAACGUUGGCAUAAAAAGUAAUCUGGAGUGUGCUCGCUCUCACCCCUCUUAGUAGUGUAUUCAGUGCAGCUGCGAGACAAACAGCUGGCGUACAAACGUCAUAAAUGUGAUUGAACUUCCCAUAAUGUACUACUACAACCGUACAGGGAUUAUAGUUUAAUCUGCUUAAUUUAAACUUUCUUAUUUGAACAGUAGAGAGACAUAAAACAGCCGCGACGAUAGUUUAGUUAGUCCAUUCACCCUCUCAAUAAUUCGGGUCGUGGGUAAGAACGUAUAAGUGUAUGUUUUGAGCCUAUCACCGGUUACCAUAGUAACGGGGGAUAGAUCAUUGGACACGCCCCAGUUUCAGAUGUUGGCCAACGCGUAUUUGUAAGUUAAAAAUAAAUUACUCUCCGACAUGUCAAUAAUUUUUCUGCACAAGGGGUUUUUAAUUUUACGGGCUACUCUGCUCCUUUUAUAUAGGCUACAAUCUAAUUUGGCCGACAUUAAUUUUAGAGAGGAAUAAAAAAUUAAAACAGUCGUAAUAAAAAAAAAAAAAAAUAUACUCGAAAAACAAACUUUUUAAAGAUUAAAAGUGAUUAAUGUCACAUGCAGUUCUUAUUGAUCUCUAUGUAGAAACUUUCAUCGAUUGUUACUUAAUUUUUUUUUUUUUUUUACC
rnacentral:lncRNA from 1 species